AAGGACGAGAAUCCGACGGGAAUGUGA
rnacentral:piRNA from 1 species